UGACCCCUCACGCCUGUUGUAAAUUAUAAGGCAGCAGACCAACUCUGUUCUGGUCUCUGUGAGAGAUCGUAAUGUCUUUGUCCCUUAUGGAGUAUCUACCUCAGAACUGUCACAUGCAAUAAAUGGACUUUGGGACAUUCUAUUUCAUCAACCAAAAUGACAGUUGGCCUAUGAAAAUGAAUGUCAAUUUUGUGAAGUCAUUAAAAGUUAAAUGAGGAUGCUAUGACAAACAUUGUAACUUGAGUUUUCAUAAUAUGUACAUGUUUACAUACUGUGUGUUGUGUAGAAAAUAUCCAGAUCAAAAUUAAUGUUUUUGUGAAGAUGAACUGUGAAUUUAGUUGUCUGAACAGAUCCGGGUAAGUCUGAUGCCUUGUAACUACUUGUGCCUCAGGGAGCCCAGAGAGCAUGCCAGGAUGAUGUAAACGCCCUCUUUCGCCCAGGGUAUAAAGCAUUUGUGUUAAGAGUUAACAUAUCAGACUAGAGACCACGUGCUGCAGCCUAGGUCUACUAUUAUUGGACCGCAAAACGCAACACGAGGUUGAAGAAGACAAAGGAACCUCUUAACAAUCAAUGCUAGGGUUGAGUAUCUGUAUCUAAGAAGGUGAAUUCAAGCAGGACCACACGGUUAUUCUCUCCAAGCAAUUGUGUGUCUACACUGCUUUUAUUCCCACUCUGGGAAUAUCUAGACGGCUGAUUGGUCUUCUGAGGAUGGAUAAUCUUCCAGAACGAGUACAAGGAGCCAGACAACUAAGGGAAAGGACAUUGUGACACCUUGUGGACAAUCAGAGACUUGCACCCGGCCAUCCGAAGAACAAGACCCACUAAGCCGAAUGCGGCCCACGAAGGCCUGGGCCCAUCAGGAACUCGGCCCGCGAAAGGAUACCCAACGGAGACCUUCAACAAGUAAAUCCAUUCAUUAUAAUUCUGACCCAUAAGAGCGGGCAGUUCAGGGCAAGGUGUUAUGGCUAAACUAAGCAUAGUUUACAAAUGUAUCCAAGUGUGCUUUUCUCUUGUGCACUUUCUCUCUCUCUCUCUCUCUUGAAAUCUCCAUCUUGUGUAAGGCGUCAUAUAGUGUUGGCCCGCUAGGGACCUGUGUAACUGAAUUACGUUCUAAUCAAUAAUCUUUAACCUGGACUGUAUGUGUAUCUUAUAUUAUCAUUUAGCUUGUUAG
rnacentral:lncRNA from 1 species